GGAUUAGAUACCCUAUUACUAUAGGUGAGAGGGAAUAUUAUUUCUAAGUGUUAAGGUAGUAUUGGUUAUGAUUUAUGAAACUUAAAGAAUUUGGCGGUACUUAAUGAUCUAUUUAGAGGAAUCUGUUUAUUAAUUGAUAUUCCGCGUUGGAACUUACUUUAUUUGAGGGCUUAUAUAUCGUCGUUGUUGUGAUAUUGUAAGAUAAUUAUUUUUUUUAGUUGAAUAAAUUUCAGAUCCAGGUGUAGUGAUAAUAAAGUGUUGAUGGAUUACAAUAAAAGUUUAUUACGGAUGGUAGGGUUGAAAUAUUUGCUUGAAGGUGGAUUUAAGAGUAAUUUUUUGUAGAUUGUUAAGGUGAAUAGGGCUCUGAGGUGUGUACAUAUUGCCCGUCACUCUCAUUUAAAUUGAGAUAAGUC
rnacentral:rRNA from 1 species